CAGAACGAACGCUGGCGGCGCGUUUAAGCAUGCAAGUCGAGCGGCAAGGGCCUUCGGGCCCUAGAGCGGCGGACGGUGAGUAACACGUGGACAAUCUGCCCCCCGGUCCGGGAUAGCCCAGGGAAACCUGGAUUAAUACCGGAUGAGACGGGACCCGCGGAGGCGGGACCCGGGAAAGGCGCUACGGCGCCGCCGGGGGAUGAGUCUGCGUCCCAUUAGCUAGACGGCGGGGUAACGGCCCACCGUGGCGACGAUGGGUAGCCGGCCUGAGAGGGUGGACGGCCACAUUGGAACUGAGACACGGUCCAGACUCCUACGGGAGGCAGCAGCUAAGAAUCUUCCGCAAUGGGCGAAAGCCUGACGGAAGCGACGCCGCGUGAACGAAGAAGGCCGUGAGGUUGUAAAGUUCUUUUCGGGAGGGGAACAACCGUGGCAGGGAAUGGCCGCGGGAUGACGUGAAUCCCGGAAUAAGCCCCGGCUAACUACGUGCCAGCCGCCGC
rnacentral:rRNA from 1 species